rnacentral:rRNA from 1 species
AGUGGCGGACGGGUGAGUAACGCGUAAGAAUCUAACUUCAGGACGGGGACAACAGUUGGAAACGACUGCUAAUACCCGAUGUGCCGCAAGGUGAAACCUAAUUGGCCUGGAGAAGAGCUUGCGUCUGAUUAGCUAGUUGGUGGGGUAAAGGCCUACCAAGGCGACGAUCAGUAGCUGGUCUGAGAGGAUGAGCAGCCACACUGGGACUGAGACACGGCCCAGACUCCUACGGGAGGCAGCAGUGGGGAAUUUUCCGCAAUGGGCGAAAGCCUGACGGAGCAACGCCGCGUGAGGGAGGAAGGUCUUUGGAUUGUAAACCUCUUUUCUCAAGGAAGAAGUUCUGACGGUACUUGAGGAAUCAGCCUCGGCUAACUCCGUGCCAGCAGCCGCGGUAAUACGGGGGAGGCAAGCGUUAUCCGGAAUUAUUGGGCGUAAAGCGUCCGCAGGUGGUCAGCCAAGUCUGCCGUCAAAUCAGGUUGCUUAACGACCUAAAGGCGGUGGAAACUGGCAGACUAGAGAGCAGUAGGGGUAGCAGGAAUUCCCAGUGUAGCGGUGAAAUGCGUAGAGAUUGGGAAGAACAUCGGUGGCGAAAGCGUGCUACUGGGCUGUAUCUGACACUCAGGGACGAAAGCUAGGGGAGCGAAAGGGAUUAGAUGCCCCUGUAGUCCUAGCCGUAAACGAUGGAUACUAGGCGUGGCUU